GGCCUUUACGUCUUAUCACCAACCCAUCGUAUGUCUCAUAGAAUGUAAAUAUAUGUCCUCGCCUUAAAAAGCGUUGAUAAACUUAUACAACUUUCAACAACGGAUCUCUUGGCUCUCGCAUCGAUGAAGAACGCAGCGAAAUGCGAUAAGUAAUGUGAAUUGCAGAUUUUCAGUGAAUCAUCGAAUCUUUGAACGCACCUUGCGCUCCUUGGUAUUCCGAGGAGCAUGCCUGUUUGAGUGUCAUUAAAUUCUCAAACUCCGAUCGAUUUGUUUCGACUUCGGGGCUUGGAUUUGGAGCGUGCUGGCGUCGGUCGGCUCCUCUUAAACGCAUCAGCGGAAUCUAACGUUCCGGACGUCAGUGUGAUAAUCACGUUGCGCUGUCUUUCGGUCCGAAAAGCCCGCUCACAAUGGUCUUCGGACAACUUCAUAUCAAAUUUGACCUCAAAUCAGGUAGGACUACCCGCUGAACUUAAGCAUAUCAAUAAGCGGAGGA
rnacentral:rRNA from 1 species